UUUUUUUUUUUUCUUUUUCUUUUUGUUUUUUUUU
rnacentral:ribozyme from 16 species